GCUCCGUUGGUGAACCAGCGGAGGGAUCAUUAUCGAGUUUAUAACUCCCAAACCCUAUGUGAACUUACCACUUGUUGCUUCGGCGCGCGCUUCGGUGCCGCCGAGGACACUUAAACUCUUUGUUUUUAUAAACAUUUCUGAGUGGCCGAAAGGCAAAAUACAAAUGAAUCAAAACUUUCAACAACGGAUCUCUUGGUUCUG
rnacentral:misc_RNA from 1 species